rnacentral:lncRNA from 1 species
GUGGCCCUCUCCAGGCCAGAUGCGCAGCUGGAGUGGAAGUCACUGAGAGCGGCUAGCAGACAGCAGCGAGUGCUCAGGGGCCUGUGUGCUCUCGGGCACUGCCGGCCACUCGUGGCAUUCUCCCUCACAGCCCUUGGGCAUCUGUGCCCCUGCUACAGCAUACACCAAACUUUAACUGAAAUUUGGGAGAAUGGCAAGAAGUGUGUCCCCACCAUGCAAUUCAAGGUUCCUAGGACUGCUUUCUGGACCUGGAGGCUCCUGGUCCUUGCACCUGCUGACCUGUCACUGCCACAGUGCCCACAGGGCAACUGUGUGCCCUCAUGGUUGCAAGAUUUGAAGACCAGAGAAGAUACCAAAGAGAAGACCAUUAGAAUAUACUUUUGAGUGAGCAGCUCCAUCACUGUCAUCAUGAAAAGGCUCAGAAGGGAUGUGUCCCCAUGAUGUUUAUUUGAAGAAGGCUGUGAAUGUGAGGCUAAAGUAGAAAAGCAAAGGGAAGACACUAUGGGCAAAAUUUCAAAAAAAUGUCUUGCUCAAACCACUGAUUUUCAGCAAGUAGUAGUUGCCCAUGAAGAAAUAGCCUUUCAGGAAAAUAGGCAUAAUUUCAAUGAAUUUGA